CCCAAGCGGCCGCCCGGCGCGGCGCGGCGCAGUCGGCUCGAGUACUCCCCGUAACGAGGAGGUGUUCUCGGCCGUCCCACCGUCCACUGCCGUCUCCGGGCUGCGCCGCCGGAGCCGGGACGCGCCUCCGCUGCCCUCGCCGCCUCCAUCCCCGCGGCCGCAGCUCCUCUCGCCGUCCGCGCGCACACCAUGACGAAGAACGAGAAGAAGUCCCUCAACCAGAGCCUGGCCGAGUGGAAGCUCUUCAUCUACAACCCGACCACCGGAGAAUUCCUGGGGCGCACCGCCAAGAGCUGGGGAUCGCAGUAUGUGGUAGGGAAGUGAUGCUGUCUGAAGGUGACAUCCUGUUCUCCUCUCUUCUGUCCUCUCGAUCCUUAUUUUGGCCACCUGGUUUGAUCUUGCUCUUCUACCUAGUUUUUUAUGGGUUCCUGGCUGCACUCUUCUCAUUCACGAUGUGGGUUAUGCUUCAGACUCUCAACGAUGAGGUUCCAAAAUACCGUGACCAGAUUCCUAGCCCAGGACUUAUGGUUUUUCCAAAACCAGUGACUGCAUUGGAAUAUACAUUCAGUAGGUCUGAUCCAACUUCGUAUGCAGGGUACAUUGAAGACCUUAAGAAGUUUCUAAAACCAUAUACUUUAGAAGAACAGAAGAACCUCACAGUCUGUCCUGAUGGAGCACUUUUUGAACAGAAGGGUCCAGUUUAUGUUGCAUGUCAGUUUCCUAUUUCGUUACUUCAAGCAUGCAGUGGUAUGAAUGAUCCUGAUUUUGGCUAUUCUCAAGGAAACCCUUGUAUUCUUGUGAAAAUGAACAGAAUAAUUGGAUUAAAGCCUGAAGGAGUGCCAAGGAUAGAUUGUGUUUCGCAGACAAAUAAUGUAAAAGAUGGAAUGAAGAUAUACCAAAUGUAGCAGUUUAUCCUCAUAAUGGAAUGAUAGACUUAAAAUAUUUCCCAUAUUAUGGGAAAAAACUGCAUGUUGGGUAUCUACAGCCAUUGGUUGCUGUUCAGGUCAGCUUUGCUCCUAACAAUACUGGGCAAGAAGUAACAGUUGAGUGCAAGAUUGAUGGAUCAGCCAACCUAAAAAGUCAGGAUGAUCGUGACAAGUUUUUGGGACGAGUUAUGUUCAAAAUCACAGCACGUGCAUAGUAUGAGUAGGAUAUCUCCACAGAGUAAAUGUUGUGUUGUCUGUCUUCAUUUCGUAUCAGCCGGACCUUCCAUUCUAGAAUUAUGAGAUCACCUUGGAGAAAGGUGUGUGGUACAUGACACUGGGUUACAUCAUAACGUGCUUCCAGAUCAUAGUGUUCAGUGUCCUCUGAAGUAACUGCCUGUUGCCUGUGCUGCCAGUGUACAGUCGCCAGAUAGGGACCAGUGAACACCUGAUUCCAAACAUGUAGGAUGGGGGUCUUGUCCUCUUUUUAUGUGGUUUAAUUGCCAAGUGUCUAAAGCUUAAUGUGCCGUGCUAUGUAAAUAUUUUAUGGAUAUAACAACUGUCAUCUUUUGAUGUCAACAGAGUUUUAGGGAUAAAAUGGUACCCGGCCAACAUCAAGUGACUUUAUAGCUGCAAGAAAUGUGGUAUGUGGAGAAGUUCUGUAUGUGAGGAAGGAAAAAAAGAAAAUAAAAGUGUAUUUGAAAAAUAUUA